CAGCCUGUAACCAUGCCCUGAUCCUGUUACUCAGACAGGCUCCAGUUCCUUGGGUGAAUUGUGACAUCCAAGCUGCAGUUCCUUCAGGUGCUUUUCCCCACUUCUGGCGCUGUUCGGCUCCAUCACCUGCUGUGCAACAGGAGCAGAAGAAUGAGCAGAUUUGCCUCCAGCCUUGCUGCAGGCAGGUAAUUAUGUCAGGUGUUGCAUGCCAGUGCCAAGUUCUGCUGAAAACACUAUGUCUGACUGAGAUCCUCACUGUGGAGGCAUCAAAACCUGUUCUGCUGUGGCAAGGUGCACCUUGAACAGAGCUCCUCCCCCCUCCUUUGUCCAAGUGUUUUGCUGGAGAAUCUCUCCAGCUGUGAGCAGAGGCAGAGAUACAGGAUACGGGUCAACCAAAUGGUUCAACAUAUUUGAGGUGACGUGCAAGAAUUAUGGCAGUGCCUAGCAGAACAAAGCAGAGUGCAGAGGAGACAUGAGGCUUUUCAGAUCUACUGUAACUGUAGAUCAGUUACAGCCUAACCUGCAGCUCAUGCAUGGGACAAAUGCCAUGUUCCCAACUCCCUGCUGUAGGUUGCUGGCUGACAGAGGAGGGCUGGUGCUCUAGAAGAUUUUAAUUUCCCUCCCAGAAAAAUAAAAAAUCAGAAAAGUGA